UACAGAGGUGGCAAGCGUUGUUCGGAAUUACUGGGCGUAAAGGGCGCGUAGGCGGUUCGUUAAGUCCUGUGUGAAAUCCCCCGGCUCAACUGGGGAACUGCACAGGAAACUAGCGGGCUUGAGUUCGGGAGAGGGAAGCGGAAUUCCAGGUGUAGCGGUGAAAUGCGUAGAUAUCUGGAGGAACACCGGUGGCGAAGGCGGCAUCCUGGACCAAUAUUGACGCUGAGGAGCGAAAGCAUGGGGAGCGAACAGG
rnacentral:rRNA from 1 species